AUGGUUGGGCAGAAACCUACUAAUGGCACGAGAUGGCUUAUCACCGGAGAUUUCAACCAAGUCUAUCGUGCCCGAGAUAAGAACCGUUCCAAUGUUGAUCGGAGCCGCAUUGUCCGGUUCCGCAACGCUCUCAAUGCUUGCGAGCUCAAGGAGAUACAUUUGCAGAAUAGGAAAUUCACGUGGAGCAACGAGCGAGCUGAUCCGACCAUGAGCAAACUUGAUAGCUUUUUUUGUAAUGAAGAUUGGGAUAUCCAAUUCGGCACACACCUCCUACAUGCCUUGUCAUCUUCAUUGUCCGACCAUUGUCCUCUCCUCCUCGCUAGUGACUCCGGGCCCUCUCGGCCAAAGUGCUUCCGCUUCGAAAACUUUUGGAUCAAGAUGCCUAACUUCAAGAAGGUUGUUCAAGAUGCUUGG
rnacentral:rRNA from 1 species